rnacentral:misc_RNA from 1 species
GAUGAAGAACGCAGCGAAAUGCGAUAAGUAAUGUGAAUUGCAGAAUUCAGUGAAUCAUCGAAUCUUUGAACGCACAUUGCGCCCCCUGGUAUUCCGGGGGCAUGCCUGUCCGAGCGUCAUUACAACCCUCAAGCUCAGCUUGGUAUUGGGCCCCGCCGCUCCGGCGGGCCCUAAAGUCAGUGGCGGUGCCGUCCGGCUCCGAGCGUAGUAAUUCUUCUCGCUCUGGAGGUCCGGUCGUGUGCUCGCCAGCAACCCCCAAUUUUUUUCAGGUUGACCUCGGAUCAGGUAGGGAUACCCGCUGAACUUAAGCAUAUCAAUAAGCGGAGGA